rnacentral:rRNA from 1 species
AUUGAACGCUGGCGGCAUGCCUUACACAUGCAAGUCGAACGGCAGCACGGGAGCUUGCACCUGGUGGCGAGUGGCGCACGGGUGAGUAAUACAUCGGAACAUGUCCUGUAGUGGGGGAUAGCCCGGCGAAAGCCGGAUUAAUACCGCAUACGAUCUACGGAUGACAGCGGGGGCCCUUCGGGCCUCGCGCUAUAGGGUUGGCCGAUGGCUGAUUAGCUAGUUGGUGGGGUAAAGGCCUACCAAGGCGACGAUCAGUAGCUGGUCUGAGAGGACGACCAGCCACACUGGAACUGAGACACGGCCCAGACUCCUACGGGAGGCAGCAGUGGGGAAUUUUGGACAAUGGGCGAAAGCCGAUCCAGCAAUGCCGCGUGUGUGAAGAAGGCCUUCGGGUUGUAAAGCACUUUUGUCCGGAAAGAAAUCCUUGGCCCUAAUACGGUCGGGAGAUGACGGUACCGGAAGAAUAAGCACCGGCUAACUACGUG